UACAGAGGGUGCGAGCGUUAAUCGGAAUUACUGGGCGUAAAGCGUGCGCAGGCGGUUCGUUGUGUCGGCGGUGAAAGCCCCGGGCUUAACCUGGGAAUGGCCGUUGAAACUGGCGAACUGGAGUGUGGCAGAGGGGGGUGGAAUUCCGCGUGUAGCAGUGAAAUGCGUAGAGAUGCGGAGGAACACCGAUGGCGAAGGCAGCCCCCUGGGCUGACACUGACGCUCAGGCACGAAAGCGUGGGGAGCAAACAGG
rnacentral:rRNA from 1 species